rnacentral:rRNA from 1 species
ACUCCUACGGGAGGCAGCAGUGGGGAAUAUUGGACAAUGGGGGAAACCCUGAUCCAGCCAUGCCGCGUGUGUGAAGAAGGCCUUUUGGUUGUAAAGCACUCUAAGCAGUGAAGAAGACUCUUCGGUUAAUCUCCUCGCAGACGAUGACAUUAGCUGCAGAAUAAGCACCGGCUAACUCUGUGCCAGCAGCCGCGGUAAUACAGAGGGUGCAAGCGUUAAUCGGAAU